AGAAGGCUCGCGGCGGGCGGGGCUGAGGUGGCUAACAAGGUCCUCGAACAGCCUCGCCUGUUGGUCUGGGCGUGUGGGCGUGUUCUCCACCCCUUACAGGGAGUGUGGGACCCGCGGGCCAGUCUCGCCCUUGUUCCGGGCCGGAUCUCGAGUGGGCGCUCAGCCCGGCGGUGGAGAGACAGUUUACUUUGUUCAGCAAAUAUUUAAUCGAUGCCGACUUUUAAUUGGAGAUUGUCUCGGCUGGCAGGAGCCUCUAGACUGCCUGUGUCCUGUUUCUUCCCCUGAAAAUAAGAAACCCCAGUUUCAGACAGUUAAGAGAGGUCUAAGGUCAAAAUAAUCAUAAUUUCUUGAGUGCUUCCUACUGGCCAGACAGUGUGCUAAGCACUUUUAAAGGCAUUAUCUCAUCGGUUAAAACAUAGUUUUCCCGACUUAAAGUUUACAGCACACUGGGGCGGAAGCGGGGGAUAGUAAACCGCUUCUCUACUCCCUUUCUCCGUUUAUUGACUCACACUCUGUUCUUUGGAUCACUUCCUUCGGAAAAAGUUCCUCGUAGUGUGUCUUGACUUUUUUAAAAGUUGUAUGUUAAAAGUAGUUAAACACGCUGACAGAUACUGAAGAAUGAAGAAAAUUGUAAGAAUGUGAAGUCUGCCUUUAGAAUGCGGCAGGAAACCUAAACAAAACUUAAAUGCUUUGUUUUGAUCACAUUAUCACAGUCGUUGGUCUUCAGAGGUCAAUUGUGAACGGCUUUGGCUUGUGUUUGCAGCUUUUCUUCAGUUGCCGCCUCCACCCUUAGUUUAAUAACAAUGAUCCAGUCCUGUUACACCUGAGUGUGGACUCAUGCCAUGACUGACUUGCUUCUACCCUUUAGCUUUUCUAGUGCCAUAUUCUCCGCCUGCCAUAUCUGAUUCUUUUCUUAAAUCCCAUACUCUCUCAUUCAGGAAACCUCUUCCCAACAAUUCCACAAAGAUCUAAUUAUUCUGCAUAUUCUAGCACUACGUGAUCAAUAGUUCUCAAUAGGUGUUUGCACUUUUUUUUAAAUUGCUUUUUUCUCUAAGAAUUAUUUUUCGUUUGUUUUUGUCUGUUUACUUGAUUUAAGGACACUUCAUUUUUGCUUCCCAUGUCUAGUACACUGACACAGUGGACACUCAAUACUUGGUUUGUUGAAAGUUAAGUAGACUAUAAGUUCUACUUAAAACCACGUAGCUAUUUAUUCGUAGCAAAAAACGUAUUUGUGUUAAAAGUUUGCUGGCUAACUAUAAGUCGAGUAUUUUUCUAGCUAUACAGACCUAGUCAAAGGAUGUGAUUGUUUGCUAACAUAAUUGUCAAGUAAUAUAUAUUAUCUGUGUAAUGCUCAUCUAAAUAUCAUUGCUCUUUCUGACCAGUCUGAACUUGUUGCCGGAGGGUUAAAAAUCAUGACUACUUCACGUGUAGCAGUUUUCACUUGCAUUCAAUGCUUUGUAAAAUAGAUUCCAACUAGUCAGUUUCUAUAAGGCGAACCCUUCAAAUAUACUCCUUGAAAAGAACAGUUCACCGGACAUUAUGAAGUUAGCACUAAUGUUUGUGGGGCAGGAAAAGCUGUUGUAGUGUGGAACAAUGAAUUAAGAAUCAGAAAGCCUGAUGUCGGGUUCUAGCUGUAGCAUAAAUGCACUUGACCUUGAUCGCUGCUCUCUAAUCUCUGGUCCUUAGUUUACUUUAGAAUGCGUGAGUUGGAGGAUCUCCAGUAUCUCUUCCAGGAUGAAAAAGUAAAGGAUUCUGGUGAGGCCUCAUGGUUGCAAAACAUGAGAGUGAAUAUACUUAGAUAUAUAGAGAAGUUCAUAGUGGAUAGAUAUACUUGGAUUUUUAAAUUCUAUUGCCUUACUCAAUGUCUUACCUUUUUCAUUCAAUAAAUAUUGAAUAUAUCUACUAUAUGGCAGGCACGAAUUUAGAUAUUUGGAUGUUUAAUAGGCCUCUUAAGUAUCAAACAACAUUCAGUUCAUACACACACAUACACACUACACAGCAUAUACACACGCUUAAAUCUGCUUGUCCUGUAGUCAUCACCAUUCCAAUAAAUGACAGCUCUUCUAAAUGCUCAGACCAAAAACCUUAGGAUAAUCCCUACUCCUCACUUUCUUUCACCCACCAAAUCCAAUCUUUAAGCAGGUCGUGCUGGCUCUACAUUCAAAAUAUGUCUAAUUACUUCCCAGCACCUCCACUGCUACGACUCUAAUUCAAGUUGCCAUCUUCUCUUGUCUAGAUUACAGUGGUACUCUUUUAAUGAGCUAUUCCACUUUGCUGCUUUACAGUCUCUUGUGUACAUGGCAACCAGAUGAUCUUUUGUGUAAGUCACAUCAGGUUACUCUCCUGCUCAGAAUCCUCAGAAGCAACUGGCUUCCCAACAUACUUCAAAGUCUUUUCCCUGGACUAUAGGGCUCUGGAUACUCGGCAACUUCUGCAAGUAUCUCAUUAACUAACACCUUCCCCAUCACUCUACCACACUGGCCUUCCUGAUUUUCUUCAAACAAGCCAAGCAUGUUUCUACUUUAGGAACUUUGCACUUGCUUUUCUGUCUAGGAUCUGGUUGUCAUUCACGUUAUCACAUGACUGACUCCCUCACUUCAUUCAGGUCUCUGCCCAAAUAGCACCUAAAUUCACUAUCCUCAUUAUGAUUCUCCAUAAAAUAGCAUCUGUGUCAUUCCCCAUCCUCUUAAUCCUGUUUCAUUUUUUCUCAGACACAUCUCUCUCUCUUUCUUUCCUUCCUUCCUUUUCUUUCUUUUUUUCUUCACUGCCUGUCUCUCACCAGUAGAGUGUGAACUGCAGGAGAACAGAGUUCACUGUUAUAUCUCCAGUGCUUAAAACAGUGCCUACAACAGUGCCUAGUACAUGCAUCCCUCCUCCAGAUGUGCCUCCCUUUGAUCUAUCAAACGGCCCCUUCUUCACUGUCUUGGUACAAUACAAUUUUACAAAGGAGUCCCAGGAACCUUAAAGGUUAAGUAUAUGAGAAAUUUUGAAUUGAACGCUUGGUGGCAAAAUGAAGGGGGGCUUUUUUAGGGAGAUUCUCUGUCUAGAGGGUGGUCCCCUAUCACACUGUUGGGGGCAUAUAUUAUAUAGAUGUAGGGGUGGGUAAGUCCGUGAUCAGAGCAAAGGGUGAACAGGUUCUUGAACUGUUAGGAAGCUACCCAAAAUGAAACAAUACCGUGUCUUCCACCCUUUUUCUGGCAGCAGAUGGGAAGAUAAGCUCUUAAAUAACAUUUAUUAUUUCUUUUUUUUUCUUUAAGUAGUAUAUCAGUAGGACAGUGAAGUUGGAAGAGUGGAAUAUGAACCACUUCUGAACGUGUUUGAUGUUCUACAGAAACUACUAUUCAAAGAUGGAAGAAAACUUGGAAUAAUCCAAAUAUUCAAGUCAAUAAGAUAAGUCCCAAUAAUCUGCCCUAGGAUUUAAAAUACAUUAUUCUGAGUAUUGACUUAGAGAUACAGUGGAGAGAGUAGAUUAUACAUAGAGACUUGUAUCAAGCAAAAGUAAAUUAAGCUGCCAUUGAGAUACUUAAAUAAUUAGUCUUCUAGGAAGCUGUAGAGAAUUCCAUUUCUGAGUCUUUGGAAAACUCCUGGAGUAUUACCCCGACUGACAUCAUCAACUAUUCAAUUUGCCCAAGUAUGUCUACAAAGUUACUUUCUAUUCAUCAUCCUUCUUAUGUAAACAGUUAUAUGUGCCCUGGAAGUUUAAUUCUAUAAAUAUCCAGUUCUCCAAAUUGGCCCAAUAAUAAUAGUAGCUAAUAGUUGUUAACCACUUUUAUGACAUGUGAUAAUUCAUUUAAAACUCACAAUAGUCUUUGGAGGUAGCUGCUAUUCUCAUCAUCAUCUCCAUUUUACAAAUGAAGAAACUGAGAUAUAGAGAGGUUAAAUAAUUUCCAAUACUAUAGCCAGGAAGUAGUGGAGCUAAAUUAGACCCAGCUGGUCUGACUUCAGAAUUGCACUUAGAAUCCCCUUUGGCCCAUGAGCAUGAUGAGUUCUCCAUUCUUUUACUUAAAAGAGUAUUGAUACGUAGUCAGCUACCAUCUGGGGUGGGGAUUGAGGGAUAAUGUUGAGAACUUAAGCAUCGCAUUUGCAAUACCAACAACACAAUCUUCCUCUAACAGCAAGUUUGCCAGAUUUGGUGUCUCAGCAACUCUGGAACCCAGCAUUGAAGCAAUCAGUUCUUUAGAGAGGGAGGUAGUUCGGCUGGAUAUCGUGGCUCACGCCUGUAAUUCUAGCACUUUGGGAGGCCAAGGAGGGGGUGGAUCACCUGAGGUCAGGAGUUCAAGACCAGCCUGGCCAACAUGGCAAAACCCCGUCUGUAUUAAAAAUACAAAAAUUAGCCAGGCAUGGUGGCGGGUGCCUGUAAUCCCAGCUACUUGGGAGGCUGAGGCAGGAGAAUUGCUUGAACCCGGGGGGUGGGGGUGGAGAUUGCAGUGAGCCAACAUUGUGCCACUUCACUCCAGCCUGGGCAUAAGAGCGAAACUCCAUCUUGGGGGAAAAAAAAAAGAGAGAGAGAGGGAGGUAGUUCCUGGACCUCUUGCUCAAAAUUUGGCUGUAUACUUGGGCACUAGUCCAGGUACUGGAGAGAUAGGUAGGAAUGGCUGAAGACCCAUCAGUCAGUGGUUUGCUAAAAUAAAGCUUCAGCAUCUGAGCUUCUCAUUGGAAAAGUUAGUGAACUAGCCCAGCCUGUAGGAGUUUUAUGGGGGCAGAAGUUAGCAGAAGGAGUCUUUUACCCAAGGCAGUAAUAACACCAUAAUCAACAAAGCAAGAAGAUCUGAGAGUCAGAAUUUAGCGGCAAGAGUCCUGGGCCUCUUGCCCAGACUCUGUUCGGCAAGAGUCGAACAGAGAAGAAAAGUUCGAACGGGUCCUGAUAUAGGGAAGACUAGAAGCAGACAUGAAAAGCCAAAGUAUAGAGCCUGGGAAACAGACGAGAGCCAGGUGUACUGGGUUCAACACUAGGUAACAGGGUGAUUCCUUGUGAAUGCCAAAACAAAGUGGUUGCAGGCAGCUGCAACCUUUGUUUCCAUGCCCUUUGCAAAGGGCAUGUGGAAGAAACAGUUGCAUUUAAGGGUUAGGGAUUCUGUGACUUGGCAGGGUUGUGAGUUUCCAGCAUUGAGACAAAUUGGUAACCAGAUCUGCUGGACUAGAGCCCAAUCUGCAAAGCUCCCUAAUGCAGAAGAGUCCACCGUUGUGUAAACAGAUUCUAUCUUCCCAUAGUUCCUGGAAACCGGAUAGCCUUCAUCUCACAUCUUCACUGUAUUCUAGAGAAAUGAGGGUAAUGUGUUGGGCAGGGCAGAGUAGAGAUGAAUAGUUGGGUAUGGCACAGGCGGCUACCUGUUGUAUCAGUGGGUAUGGUUUACCUCACAUAGGGCACCUACACGUGAAGAAAUGGACAACAGAACUGCUUUGUCUGUUGGCAUGGUUGUCUUAUUGGAGGACUGCAUUAUUGGAGGACUGGUUUCCUCUUCCCUACCAGGACAAUCCUCCGAAGUUCUUUGAGCUUUUUCUACUGCCUAUUUUUGCAGCCCAGGUCAGUUGAUCAGGAGGUGUGGCCUUGUAUUUGGUCCACCUUGAGUCAGAUGCCGCUCUGCUUACUGAGUAUUUUUAUAUUGGACUCAAAUCAUGAUAUGGAAUCAUUUGUAGACAGCAGACCCACCAAAAUUCUGCUGCGCAGUGACAGCAGGGCAGAUCACGGUGUUAACUGUAAUCAUCCUGGUAGGGAGAGGGUAUUUAUAUACUAUAGGACAGAUGGAGAGUGUGUACUGCUUUCAGAGGUGGAAUUGCAGGCUACCUGGGAGGCAAUGAAUUUCCGCAACCUCUCCAAAAGCAAAGAUAGAAGACAUGCCUUUCUAUCUCUUCACCUCUGAUGCAUUCAGAGCUACAUCAUAAUGUUGCACAAGGUCCCCUUUAAGAGUAGGUGUAGCCUGUUAGAGUCCAGGCAGGGCAUAUGAACAUAGAACAAGUAACUUCUCCUACACUCAGUCGAAAGGCCACAACCUCCACACAGAAGGUGAGGUUCUUCCUGAGCACAAUAAUGUAGUUGCCAGAUCUUCCACAUGGCUGUAUCAAUGGGCUUGACUCUGGAGCCUUAGAUUUGGGCAAGAACAUUUAAUCAUCCCUUGAAGGACCACCAGCUAGGAUUGUUACCAUGAGAGAAUAUGGGGAGGAGCUAUUUAAGAGGAUCCAAAAUGAUGUGCUGCAGGGCUCCAGGCUCAUUUUAUUGUGUCAGUCUUAUUUAAAGGUGUAAGUUUCUCAAGCAGUGACUAGUUCAGGGAAAAAGAAAAAAAAUAAAGGCAUAAGGCUCAAACAAUCCUUUAACUGACCUCUAAGCAGGUAAUAAAUAUUACUACUUUUUUUCUUAUAGUUUCUUAUUUUUUACCUUUUUUAUGUUCAACUCUUUAGUCCACUUGAGAUUUUUUUUCUGGUAUGUUAUGUGAAACAUAAAUCACAUGGACACUUUUAUAUGGGGCACUGUCACGUGCAGGAUUACAAAUACCUGUUGUAUUUAUUCAUUCAGUCAUCCAUUACCAGUUCAAGGCACAUUGUUAGGGACCAGAGAUGAUAAACAUCAAAAAGAAUGUGCUUCUUAAUCGGUAGCAGCUUAUUGUCCAUUUAAGGAGAUCAGAGGUACAUAAAUUACUGUAUAUACAAAGCAGCAUGUAAAAAGUGCCAUGUGAGUGAUGCGAACAAGAAAGAAUAUAAAAUAUAAGGAUUGUUUUUUAUUUUUACCUGAGGGCAUAUUAGGGAACUAGCAGUAGAUUCCUUCUGCCUGGAAUAAGAGUUUUCCCAGAAGAAGUGUCACUUGAGAUGUACCUACAGGGACAGGUAGCAAUCUUAAUCAUGACUUGUUGGAUAUAAUGAACAGAAAUCCUCUUGUAUCAUCUCAAUUUAAAAAGGGAGCUAUCCACUUAUCUUGCUUCUAAGAAUCUAUUCUAAAAGUAAACUGGCUAAAACAUAUAAUGACCUAUGCACAUAGCUAUUUUUUAUGGUAUUACUUGCAAUAGCAAAAGACUGAGAACAACCCAAAUAUUAUCAAUAUGGGGCUAGUUUAAAAAACUAUGAUACAUCCACAUAAUGGAGGACUGUGCAUCAAUAAAAAGAAAAGAGAUGAAGAUCUCCAUGAAGCUCCAGGAAAGCUGGUUCAAAAUGGUGCUUAUGGUAUACACCUUUAGCACAAGAAGCAGGAAAGGAUAUGAAAAUGUAUACAUAAAUGCUUAUGUUUGUAAAAAGAUACAAUCGAAAGAUAAACCCAAAAUCAAUAAAAAUGUUAAACAAAUGGAGAAGGAGGGAAUAGAGUGAAGGGCAUAGAAAUAGUGCUAUGGAGAAGAAAUACAUCGAGAAAGGAGGAUAGGGAAUGUGGGUGAGGGCAGAAUUGCAAUUUUAUUAUUUAUUUAUUUUGAAACAAGGCCUUGCUCUGUCACCCAGGCUGGAGUGCAGUGGUGCAAUCUCAGCUCACUGCAAUCUCUGCCUCCUGGGCUGAAGCAGUCCUCCCACUUCAGCCCCCAGAGUGGCUGGGACCACAGGCAUAUACCACCGCGCCCAGCUAAUUUUUCUAUUUUUUGUAGAGAUGGAGUUUUGCUGUGUUGCACAGGCUGGUCUCCAAAUUCUGUACUCAAGUGAUCCACCCGCCUUGGCCUCCCACAGUGCUGGGAUUACAGGUGUGAGCCAUUGCUCCUGGCCAAGAUUACAAUUUUAUUUUAUUUUUUUGAGAGAGAGUCUCUCUGUGUCACCCAGGCUGGAGUGCUGUGGCGCAAUCUCGGCUCACUGCAACCUCGCCUCCCUGAUUCAAGUGAUUCUCCUGCCUCAGCCUCCCAAGCAGCUGAGAUUACAGGUGCCCACCACCAGGCCCAGCUAAUUUUUGUUAUUUUUGUAGAGACAGGGUUUCACCAUAUUGGCCAGGCUGGUCUCGAACUCCGGACCUCAAGUAAUCCACCCACCUUGGCCUCCCAAAAUGCUGGGAUUACAGGCGUGAGCCACUGUGCCCGGCCGGGAUUGCAAUUUUAAAUAGGGUGCUCAGGGCAGGCCUCGCCUAGAAGAUGAUGUUUGAACAAAACUCUGAAGGAGGGUGAGGGAGCCAACCAGGCAGGAAACUGCGGAUGAGCAUACCAAGCAGAAGAGCAAGUACAAAGGCCCUGAGGCAAUAAUGUGCCUGGCUUCAGGGAAAAACAAGGUUGGAUGACUAAACUGGAAUGAGUGUCAAAGAGCGUGGUGGAAAAUGAAGUCAGAGAGAUGGAGGAAAGAUUCCUUACAGCCUGUAGUCAGUUGUGAAGACUGACUUUUACUCCGUAUGACAUAAGACAAGGCAGGAUUUGAGCCGAGGAGUGACAGGACCUAACUUAUAUUUUGAUGGGCUCUCUCUCUGUUUCUUGCAUGUUUGCCAUUUGCCCCCUUCCCCCUUAUUCUAUCUCAGAACCCCUGCUUACUCAUGUUCUGUGUUCUCUAACAUCAGUCUACAUGUGGCGUUGGGUUUGGUGUUGUAACAACUGGUGACAUUUCAGUUCAUGUGACUACUAUGACCUAAUCACUCAGUCUCUCAGUGUCCCAAUUCCAGAUUCUUGGGUGACAUAAUAUUAGACUCACAUAUUAUUAGACUAACUAAUAUUAGCCCACCAUGGUACAGCAUGCUGAGGCUGGAGUCAGAAGUGAGCAGAAUCCUGUAAUAUUUCCAAGAGGGAAUAUGGGCAGACAGGCAAUGGUUAGCACAUCAACUUCAUCAAGUACUUCAAAUAUUUUGGUUUCUCAAUAAAUAUAUACAUGAGUUAAUAAAUCUAGCAUAUUUAGUAAACAACUUAUAAUCCUACCUACUGUUGUAAUGCUCAGUAACCACUUCAGAGUAACAGUAAUAAUAGAUGACUUUAUACUAAAUGAUGGCUUUACACUAAAACAGGUUUCUAAAACUAUCUGUGGUAAGAACCAGUUUUCUUAUUUGUAUUUCCAAAUAGUCUCCAUAGGAGAAUGAUGUUUUUGUAAAAUAUGCUAAAAAUGAAUUCCUUGACAAAUUAAAUUUUAAAAAGAUAUGCAAAAUUGAAAAAAUUUUUUUUGUUAUUAGAUUCAACAGACAGAAGAUUGCUACGUCAAAUUGCUCUAGGUUUCUAAAUGCUUAGUCUCAAUUUCUGUACUGAUCACACACCAGUAACAGUUCCAUACUUUAAAUAGCACUGUACUAAAACUCACUUAUCUAAAUAGUAAAUUUUAUAAUAAUGAUGGUCAAUUAAUGGCAUUUAAUAUUCUGAAUGAACAUUAAAGAAU
rnacentral:lncRNA from 1 species